GAGUUUGAUCAUGGCUCAGAUUGAACGCUGGCGGCAGGCUUAACACAUGCAAGUCGAACGAUGAUUAUCUAGCUUGCUAGAUAUGAUUAGUGGCGGACGGGUGAGUAACAUUUAGGAAUCUGCCUAGUAGUGGGGGAUAGCUCGGGGAAACUCGAAUUAAUACCGCAUACGACCUACGGGUGAAAGGGGGCGCAAGCUCUUGCUAUUAGAUGAGCCUAAAUCAGAUUAGCUAGUUGGUGGGGUAAAGGCCCACCAAGGCGACGAUCUGUAACUGGUCUGAGAGGAUGAUCAGUCACACCGGAACUGAGACACGGUCCGGACUCCUACGGGAGGCAGCAGUGGGGAAUAUUGGACAAUGGGGGCAACCCUGAUCCAGCCAUGCCGCGUGUGUGAAGAAGGCCUUUUGGUUGUAAAGCACUUUAAGCAGGGAGGAGAGACUAAUGGUUAAUACCCAUUAGAUUAGACGUUACCUGCAGAAUAAGCACCGGCUAACUCUGUGCCAGCAGCCGCGGUAAUACAGAGGGUGCGAGCGUUAAUCGGAAUUACUGGGCGUAAAGCGAGUGUAGGUGGCUCAUUAAGUCACAUGUGAAAUCCCCGGGCUUAACCUGGGAACUGCAUGUGAUACUGGUGGUGCUAGAAUAUGUGAGAGGGAAGUAGAAUUCCAGGUGUAGCGGUGAAAUGCGUAGAGAUCUGGAGGAAUACCGAUGGCGAAGGCAGCUUCCUGGCAUAAUAUUGACACUGAGAUUCGAAAGCGUGGGUAGCAAACAGGAUUAGAUACCCUGGUAGUCCACGCCGUAAACGAUGUCUACUAGCCGUUGGGGUCCUUGAGACUUUAGUGGCGCAGUUAACGCGAUAAGUAGACCGCCUGGGGAGUACGGCCGCAAGGUUAAAACUCAAAUGAAUUUGACGGGGGCC
rnacentral:rRNA from 1 species